AUUGAGCGCUGGCGGCAGGCCUAACACAUGCAAGUCGAACGGUAACAGGAAGCUUCUUGCUGCUUUUCUGACGAGUGGCGGACGGGUGAGUAAUGUCUGGGAAACUUCCCGAUGGAGGGGGAUACCUACUGGAAACGGUAGCUACUACCGCAUAACGUCGCAAGACCAAAGAGCUGGACCUUAGGGCCUCUUGCCAUCGGCUGUGCCCAGAUGGGAUUAGCUAGUAGGUGGGGUAACGGCUCACCUAGGCGACGAUCCGUAGCUGGUCUGAGAGGAUGACCAGCAACACUGGAACUGGAAAACGGUCAAGAAUCCUACGGGAGGCAGAAGUGGGGAAUAUUGAACAAUGGGCGAAAGCCUGAUGAAGCAAGGCCGCGGGGAGGAAGAAGGCCUUCGGGUUGUAAAGUACUUAAAGCAGGGAGGAAGGAAGGAAAGUAAAAAUCUUUGAUAAUUGACGUUACUCGCAGAAGAAGCACCGGCUAACUCCGUG
rnacentral:rRNA from 1 species